CUGGGUAGAGUGAAUGAUGAAAAAGUAUUUUCAUAAUUUUUACAUAAGAAUUCAAGUCGAAUAAAUCUUAUAUAUUAUAAAUGAUAGGGUUUGAUAAGUUUUUCAGAACUAUAUUAUACGGUAACUAUACCUAGAGGUUCAUUUUUUUAUUCUACUGGAUUAUCACUACAUACUACUAGGUGUCACUGGUAGAUUGUGAGAUCACAAAAAAUUAUUUUGAUGGUCAAUAAUUCUUAAUUG
rnacentral:lncRNA from 1 species